GACAGAGGGGGCAAGCGUUGCUCGGAAUCACUGGGCGUAAAGCGCACGUAGGCGGAUUGCUAAGUCAGGGGUGAAAUCCUGGAGCUCAACUCCAGAACUGCCUUUGAUACUGGCGAUCUCGAGUCCGGGAGAGGUGAGUGGAACUGCGAGUGUAGAGGUGAAAUUCGUAGAUAUUCGCAAGAACACCAGUGGCGAAGGCGGCUCACUGGCCCGGUACUGACGCUGAGGUGCGAAAGCGUGGGGAGCAAACAGG
rnacentral:rRNA from 1 species